UUAAGUUAUCUAGCAAAUGUAGAUACAUCCAUGAAGUAAUCUUUCAUAAUUUUUUGUAGGACUUUUCAACUGCUCCACCUAUUUUCUGGCUGCUGGUGCUGUUAGUUUGGGAAUUGGUCUCUGUGCCUUGGCAUCAGCUUUGUGGUUCCUGAUUUGUAAACGAAGAAAAAUAUUUCAAAAUUCUACAUUUAAAUCAACUGAUGAGAGACUCGGGCAAAGACCAUCAAAGAUGAAGGUUAAACCCCAUUCUCAGAGUGUUUUCAUUUCUCAAAAUUUUCAUACUGGAAGGUUCCAAUUACAGGGAGAGCAAAGAAAAAAUGAAGAAGCUCGUAUAAAAGCGAUUAAAGAUGAAUUCUGCCGUGCAACUAAAAAGGUAAUCUGUGACCUCCUAGAGAUUAACUCCACGACAAAUGGCAGCAGCAUUUCGUUAAACUUACCAACAUCACCAUCAGAUUCUCACUACAGCCAAAGUAUACAAGCAGCUGAUGAAUGGUUCUCUGAUGAUUCUCAAGCAGAAAAUAAUUCUUCAAAGCCUUUCCUUGGGGAACCCCUAGUGGAAAAAGUAUUUUCAUACCUGUCAACCAUUCCAUCAAAAGAAUACUUAAAAUGUAAUGAGCAUGACAAUUUUUGAUGAUUAAAAUAAUGACAUUAAGGAAAUGUUCUCAUGAAGAAACACUCAAGUUGAAAUACAAAACCUUCGGCGUAACACUGAAUGACUUUUUUUCUUUUGAAUCCUUGUAUACCCUGAAAUCAGGUAAUGUUAAAACUGAAUCACCAGCUUCUGACUCUCCUAACAUGCCGGUGCUAAUGUUUCCUUUCUUGUGCUUUGUCAUAGAGUGGGCCUGCUUCCCGUGCUGGCUCUUAUUUCUAGAAAUAAAACUAUGGGAAGAAUUAUGGUAGUAUCAUGGAUAGUAAGUUUAACUCCUUGUACCUUACAAAAGAUAGAUAAUAUGAUUGUAUUUUCAAUAUGCAGGAGAAAUACUUCAAGAAAUCUUUAUGAAUAUACUUUAAUAAAACAUCUGCUGCAUUUUGUUAUACUUUGGACAUAUCAAUUUCAUUUCAGCGUGAGUAGAUGUGGGUAGAAUACCUAUCAGCUUUUCUGAAUUUAAAAAACACAAGUCACCUAUCUUUCAAACCUUAUCAUGUCAUGAGUUUGGUAAUCAAGAUAAAUUUGCUCUUAAGUAAUUUCCUUUCUCUGUUUCUCAGAAAGCCCCCCCAACCCUCACCCCUCUUGAUAAAAAUGACUCCUACUCACCUGAAUCAAGUGAGGUGAGUUAGAGUUCCUUUCUAGUAUGAGAGGCCUGUGUGCAAAAAUGUAUGGUUAUGAGGGAUUUCUGAACCUAUCAUGUAAUCUUGUUUUUUUUCUUUCCUAAAUACUCUCCAUGUAAUCAAUCUUUUUGUUGUUGUUGUUGUUUUGUUUUGUUUUGUUUUGAGACAGAGUCUCACUAUGUAGUUGAGACUGACCUGGAACUCGCUAUGUAGCCCAGGCUGGUCUCUAUCUCUCAGCGAUCCUCCUGCCUUAGCCUCCUGAGAGCUGGGAUUACAGGCAUGUGCUACCACGCCUGGCUAAGCAAUCUUUUUAAUUUGCUUUCUCUUAGGAAAAAAAAUGAUUAAUAUUAAGUAUAAUACUACCUUUUACACUUAAAUAAGACCUACUUAUACCUUCCCAAGGGAUAAAUCGUACCUGUUACAAUAAAUGCAGAAAAAAAAUUGUCUCAAAGGAGAUAAUAAAUAGCAUCAUGCAAGUCUACCAUUUCUGACCCAGGAAAUAGUAAAGGAGUUGGAAGACCUUUCUCUUUUGAUGCACUUGUCCAUUUCCUCACAGUGUGUGGUGGAUUCUGAGCAUAUCUCUCCUGUCCACCCACAGAUCUCUGUAAGCUGUUUCACAAGGAGCGGUAAGAACAAGACCUUCAGCUGGUCUCGUGCUCUUAGUGUUCUGAAACUUAUGCCUUCUUGGUAUCGUAGGAAAGGGAGUUAUAGCUGAAGAUGGUAAAGUCCUAAGACUUCUCUGGGGUUGGAAAUAAGAGAUUCUAGCUUCUGUCUGACCAGACUCUGGAAUAGAAGAACCUGGGAGCUGUGAGUUGCCAUGUCCUACCAUGCAAUUUAGGAAGCAAAAGCAGCAAAUCUGCAAAAGGAGAAUAAUGAAACAUUUGCGAAUUGGAAAGGAGAGAUGAGAGCUCAGGAGAAUAUGGUUCUGCGCUUUCUAACAGUGUUCCAUCCCCUGCUUUAACACUUCGUAAAGCCUGGCCAUGACCCCUGCCCUUGGCUUGAUAGGGUAUCCUGUGUCCUAAUUGUAAAACUCCUUUUCUCUCUUAAGCUCACAAGAUGUGAUUUCUGUUAUUGGCUACCACCCCCAAGG
ensembl:lincRNA